rnacentral:rRNA from 1 species
AACCUCCGCAAUGUGAGAAAUCGCGACGGGGGGAUCCCAAGUGCCAUUCUUAACGGGAUGGCUUUUCAUUAGUGUAAAGAGCUUUUGGAAUAAGGGCUGGGCAAGACCGGUGCCAGCCGCCGCGGUAACACCGGCAGCUCUAGUGGUAGCAGUUUUUAUUGGGCCUAAAGCGUCCGUAGCCGGUUUAAUAAGUCUCUGGUGAAAUCCUGUAGCUUAACUGUGGGAAUUGCUGGAGAUACUAUUAGACUUGAGACCGGGAGAGGUUAGAGGUACUCCCAGGGUAGAGGUGAAAUUCUGUAAUCCUGGGAGGACCGCCUGUUGCGAAGGCGUCUAACUGGAACGGUUCUGACGGUGAGGGACGAAAGUUAGGGGCGCGAACCGGAUUAGAUACCCGGGUAGUCCUAACUGUAAACGAUGCGGACUUGGUGUUGGGGUGGCUUUGAGCUGCUCCAGUGCCGAAGGGAAGCUGUUAAGUCCGCCGCCUGGGAAGUACGGUCGCAAGACUGAAACUUAAAGGAAUG